UACGUAGGGGCAAGCGUUAUCCGGAUUUACUGGGUGUAAAGGGAGCGCAGACGGAACUGCAAGUCUGAUGUGAAAGCCCGGGGCUCAACCGCGGGACUGCAUUGGAAACUGUAGAUCUGGAGUGCCGGAGGGGCAAGCGGAAUUCCUGGUGUAGCGGUGAAAUGCGUAGAUAUCAGGAGGAACACCGGCGGCGAAGGCGGCUUGCUGGACGGCAGCUGACGUUGAGGCUCGAAAGCGUGGGGAGCAAACAGGAUUAGAUACCCU
rnacentral:rRNA from 1 species